GAUGAACGCUGGCGGCGUGCCUAAUACAUGCAAGUCGAGCGAACAGACGAGGAGCUUGCUCCUCUGACGUUAGCGGCGGACGGGUGAGUAACACGUGGAUAACCUACCUAUAAGACUGGGAUAACUUCGGGAAACCGGAGCUAAUACCGGAUAAUAUAUUGAACCGCAUGGUUCAAUAGUGAAAGACGGUUUUGCUGUCACUUAUAGAUGGAUCCGCGCCGCAUUAGCGAGUUGGUAAGGUAACGGCUUACCAAGGCAACGAUGCCUAGCCGACCUGAGGGGGUGAUCGGCCACACUGGAACUGAGACACGGUCCAGACUCCUACGGGAGGCAGCAGUAGGGAAUCUUCCGCAAGGGGCGAAAGCCUGACGGAGCAACGCCGCGUGAGUGAUGAAGGUCUUCGGAUCGUAAAACUCUGUUUUUAGGGAAGAACAAAUGUGUAAGUAACUAUGCACGUCUUGACGGUACCUAAGCAGAAAGCCACGGCUAACUACGG
rnacentral:rRNA from 1 species